UGGAUCCAGCAUAAACCAGUCGAUACCUAUGAGUUUGAUCUUAAGUAACGUUUACUAGCUUUGAGCGUAACUUUUUUCAAAUAAAAGUACUCAAGAUUUUUCAAAAAUUAUUCGCUAAAUUCUUUUUAUAAUCAUAAAUAUCCGUAAGAUCUCAAUCAAUAAUCAUUAAAUGUAUUUGUCAACGAUAUUAGUUAGAACGAUGCUCCUAAAAAAUUCAAUUAGUUACGCGAAACCUCAUAUGAUUUCUCCUCUUCGAACAAUUUUUCGGCAGUGAGAUUGUUGGACAGGACGAGUAGAAUGAACGUCGAGGACAUUCUGCAUCACAGGAGAAUAUUUGUAUACAUGCAGUGAACUUGUUAUUCUAUUCUUUCUUGUUCAACUGUGGUAUAUGCUCUUGACAAAUCAAAUGACUGUUUAUCUCAUAAUGCAUAACCUCUCUGAGUUUAACCUUCGAUGCUUCCGGCUCGCCUUUAUGCUCAAUUAUAGAUGCAUGUAUUGAAAAAGAAACCAACAUUUUAAUGUUAUGGAUACAUCUGUAAUAUAUUUAUAAACAGGUAUUUGUCCUUUUGUUACCCAAAAGGUAACAAAAGGUUUCAUGUGGGUAAUUUUUU